rnacentral:rRNA from 1 species
CCUACGGGUGGCAGCAGUGGGGAAUAUUGGGCAAUGGACGCAAGUCUGACCCAGCAACGCCGCGUGAAGGAAGAAGGCUCUCCGGUUGUUAACCUCUUUUAAGGGGGAAGAGAAGAAGAAGGUACCCCUUGCAUAAGCCACGGCUAACCACGUGCCAGCAGCCGGGGUAAUACGUAGGUGGCAGGCGUUGUCCGGGUUUACUGGGUGUAAAGGGCGUGCAGCCGGUGAGACAAGUCAGAUGUGAAAUCCACGGGCUCAACCCGUGAACUGCAUUUGAAACUGUUUCCCUUGAGUGACGGAGAGGUAAUCGGAAUUCCUGGUGUAGCGGUGAAAUGCGUAGAUAUAAGGAAGAACACCAGUGGCGAAGGCGGAUUACUGGACGUUAACUGACGGUGAGGCGCGAAAGCGUGGGGAGCGAACAGGAUUAGAUACCCGGGUAGUC